GAUGAACGCUGGCGGCGUGCCUAAUACAUGCAAGUCGAGCGAACGGACGAGAAGCUUGCUUUUCUGAUGUUAGCGGCGGACGGGUGAGUAACACGUGGAUAACCUACCUAUAAGACUGGGAUAACUUCGGGAAACCGGAGCUAAUACCGGAUAAUAUUUUGAACCGCAUGGUUCAAUAGUGAAAGACGGUCUUGCUGUCACUUAUAGAUGGAUCCGCGCUGCAUUAGCUAGUUGGUAAGGUAACGGCUUACCAAGGCAACGAUGCAUAGCCGACCUGAGAGGGUGAUCGGCCACACUGGAACGGAGACACGGUCCAGACUCCUACGGGAGGCAGCAGUAGGGAAUCUUCCGCAAUGGGCGAAAGCCUGACGGAGCAACGCCGCGUGAGUGAUGAAGGUCUUCGGAUCGUAAAACUCUGUUAUUAGGGAAGAACAGAUGUGUAAGUAACUGUGCACAUCUUGACGGUACCUAAUCAGAAAGCCACGGCUAACUACGUG
rnacentral:rRNA from 1 species